AACGAACGCUGGCGGCGUGGAUAAGACAUGCAAGUCGAACGGGACCAAAUUAGUAGCAAUACCGGUUUGGUUCAGUGGCGCACGGGUGCGUAACACGUGAGCAAUCUGCCGGGAAGUGGGGGAUAGCUCGCCGAAAGGCGAAUUAAUACCGCAUGUGGCUAUCUUUUGAUUAAUGGAAAAGCCAAAGCAGCAAUGCGCUUCCUGAUGAGCUCGCGGCCUAUCAGCUAGAUGGCGGGGUAAAAGCCCACCAUGGCGAUGACGGGUAGCUGGUCUGAGAGGACGACCAGCCACACUGGAACUGAGAUACGGUCCAGACACCUACGGGUGGCUG
rnacentral:rRNA from 1 species